rnacentral:rRNA from 1 species
CUUUCAUGGAGAGUUUGAUCCUGGCUCAGGACGAACGCUGGCGGCGUGCCUAAUACAUGCAAGUCGAG